rnacentral:tRNA from 1 species
UCUUAAAUAGUUUAGUGGUUAGAACUCACACAAUUUAAUUGUGGAGAAGUGGAAUGUUCGGGGUUCGAACCCCGGUUCCUGCA